ensembl:lncRNA
GGUGGUGCCACACACCUGUAAUCCCAGCACUUGGUUUGCUGAGGCAAGAGAAGCACUUUUGCCUCGGAGCUACACUGUGAGUCCAAGUGUUACAGCGCUCCGAGGGCAGGCAGACCAAGGACGACAGCAGCACUCAAGAGAGUUGAAAGCAAAGGGUGGGGAAGCAAGAAGAAUUUUACAGAAGCAGAACUAAGCACAGGGGCAGGGAGGUACAAGCAGAUGUUGUGCUAACAGUGUACCUCUAAGACAUAGGAAGAUACAGGUAGGUGUUUCAGCAGUUCAUCUUUAGGGCACAGCGACCUUCAUGGGUUUAGCAGGAAAGGCAAGUCUUGAGACUAAGUCUCUGCCUUUUUUUUUUUUUUUCCAUUUCACAAGGCCAGCCUGAACUACAUAGUGAGACUGUCUCAAAAAACAAAACAAACCACCCCCUCAAAAAAACAAAAAACCCCCAGAUGUUGAUACAUCAUCUAUCACUCACUGGCCAGCAGAUCUCAGAAUUCUCUUUAUUCUUAAGUAUGUUUCUUUAAGAGGAUUAUCUGAGAUUUUUCAGGCACCGGAUAACCAAAUGUAAACACACAUAGACAUACAUAAAGUACCUGACACAUAAAAGUUUCUACCCUCCUUAAUCUGGCCUGUAUUUGAAAGGCCUUAACCAUCUCUGCCUAUUAAAAUGCAGUCAUUUUAAAAGAUUCAGUUCAAAAAGCAUCUUUCCUAUUUUUGUAGUUGUUACUUGGUCCUCAAAAUUCUCUGGUGGACUCUACAAACCUGUUACAACAUGUAGACCAGUUUGUCUUUCUUGCCCCUCCAGGUUUCAAGUUUUUGGUGAGUAGAUUCUUUUCACUUUUCCAUUUGGUCAGGAAACAGGGGAUGUUGUUGGUAAUCAUUCAUUACUGCUUUGAAUAGUGAAAUCACGUUAGACUUCUGGAUUGAUCAAAUGGAUGGUUCUUUUUCUAAUAAUUUACUCUUAACCAGGCUUAGGCUGGUUGGCUGCUGUGCUGGUAGGUCAAUGAGGAGUAAGAGUGGGUCACAAAAACAUGGACAGCAAACCCAGAUCUACAGUUUUAAUGUUUUAAAAUGUAGUGUAUUAAAGAACUGCAGGCCAGGGAUAUAGCUCAUUGGCACCAUGCCUGCCUCGCACGCGCAAGGUCGUGAGUUCAAACAGUAGUACCAAAAAAAAAAAAGAGAACUGCAGUGAUUUCUGGCUAUGGCUUCCGGGUACAAUGAGGUUCCAGGCCUUUUGCAGCAGGAAAGAUGAGUCCGUAGGUAUGCGGUCCAAGGCAUCCAGAAAUGCCUUGGUGAGACCACAGGCUCCACACAGCUGUUCCUGUCCUCAAAUGUAGAAAUGAACAAGUAGUAGACGCCUGGCUGUAAACAACCCUUGGUGCAUUUCAGUUUCGUUUCCCUUGGUGCCGCGACCUCCACCGGGGAGCGCUGUCCGUUUCCUCGGCUGCGGUGACCACACAGGCCCUCGCCCAUCGACCUACCUAGCCCUCGGCCCGCAGGUCGAGGCCUCCCGCAGACACUCCAGGGCCGCCCGCGGGCCGGCAGGUGACGCGGCUGCCGCCGGCCCGCGCAUGCGCACCGCGCCACCUCCGCCCCCGCCGCG